CGCUAACCCUUCUCGGCUGCAACCAAACAGCCUCCACAGUGCUUCGACCCGUCCGCAGCCCCGAAAGUGCUCCCCAGAAAGCGAGAGCAGACUCCCACCAAAGCUGCUUCGACCUCGAUGUAUGCUUUUUCUCUCCACCCGAGGCCUUCCCCGCUCCCCUCCACCCUCGGAGGAAAUUGAAGAAUUCUUCCCGAACACUGUCUGAGUCUGGCUCCGGCUCUGACCGCUCCUCCCUUCCCAAGAUUGUCAGGCUACGUCAGUAGCUUAAAAACCUCCCCAGCCCCGGAUCCGCACGUGAGAGAGGACGUGCCUGGCAGUGGCCGCUCAGCGCAGCCUCCUCUUCCUUCCCCUCCUUGCUCCUCCCGCAGGGAUCACCCGAUUCAGUGCCUCACACCCUGUGGUUCAGCGAUCUCAGCCUCUCUGCCCCCGCUCGCUGUGUACGAAGCCAACCUCCAGGUCUCCACCCCGGGAAGACGCCUCCUCCUAAGAAGGGACGGUCGGGAUGCUGCGCUAGUUGUGUGGACAGUGGGAGAAAAGUUUCGCUCUCGAAUCUUAAAGAAGCAAGGCGAUCGAUUGGGGAACUCCUCCCAUGGCUUCAGGAAAAGCCACUCUAUUCUUUGGGAAAGCCCCUGUGUCCCGCCGGUUUUCCGCUUGGUCAGCAGGAUCUUCUACUGAAAGUAGAGUUCUCUCAUUCCAGUCUGCACGUACAGCUUGGAAAUUGCCAAACUGGAGAGCGAAGUCUGAGGUGGGCGGGUAGGGGAGAAGGUGGCAGCUCAACGGACGGAAGACUUUGAGUCAAAUGGAAGCUCUAUUACCUACCAGCUGGACUAGUCGCAUGUGCCCCUGCUACUAGAAAGCCUGAAGCUGGUGGAUUGCUUGAGCUCGGGAGCACCAAGCUACAGCAGAGCUAACAUCCACAGCCUAACACCCUCCCAGAAGCAUGCAUUAGAGUACCAGAAGGCAAGUCUUCUCUGAGUUGUCAUUUUGAAGAAGUCAAUAAACUUCAGAAGUGGUAGCUAGAAUGUCUGCUC
rnacentral:lncRNA from 1 species